rnacentral:lncRNA from 1 species
UAAGCUUUGUCGGAAGUUAAGUAAUUUAACUUUAUUUUACAAAGAAUGUCAUCUAUACACUUAGGUCUGAGUCCACCGAUAAAGAUAUGUCCAAUCCGAACUAGACUCAAUAAUAAACACUUUCAAUAACCUAAAUUAAGAAAAAAUUAGCAAAAGAAACCAUGUCAUCCACUUUAACUUGGUCUUGCUUGAAAAUGGUUGCAAAUUCCGAGCAAGUCCAUUGGCGUUAGUGAAAAACCCAACCAAAUUUUUGGCGGUGGCGCCACCGUUGACGGCGGAGGUACGCUUAGGCGCCACCUUGCUGGUCCUCUUACCAUCGCUGUGACUCUCCGAGGCAGAAGAUCUCGAAUCUUCCAGCGCUUGGACAUGGGGCUUGCCUCUUGCAUGGUGGGGUCCACACGCAGUAGGUUCCCUCAGCCACGCCUUCUAGCUCGUGGCUGUCGUUUGCCGUCUCUCGCGCCUCUUCGAACAUCAGCGUCCUCAUGGUUAAACGUGGACGACGAGCCGUUUCGACGGGAACGGACGUAACGGAAGCGUGAACGACGGGGUAAAUGGUCUGAUCUGGCCGUUGUAGAAAAUGUCGCCGGCGGACACAGGGGAGGAGGAGUCGGGCGAAGGCAUCGCCAACGUCGACCUCGUCGUUUUGUUGGUGGAUGACUCUGGCGGCGAUAUAAGGACUCGGAAGAGUGGUAGCUGAAACUUCUUGGAGAAGAUGGUGCUGAA